rnacentral:lncRNA from 1 species
ACUGGACUUUAUUGUUCCAAAAGGAAAGAGAAAAUAUCUAUAAACCCUUAAAAGAAAAAAGAAAAUGGUCGUCACAAACAAAUUCAGGCCUGGGAGUCGAUUAUGAAAGGGGAAAGUAUUGGCAACCCUCACAUGCGUUGUACUCAACAAAAACCAUUUAGUUAGACUUGCAAAUAGAAUGUUAUCUUUCAUUAUUUGUUUUAUUUGAGUGAUCAAGAGUUAAAAAA